GGACACAGAGAUUUCCUUCUGAGUCAAUAUUAGGCUCUUUCAAGUAACUGUGUUACCUAGACUCAAUUUCAGGAAGUGUGUGUUUGCUCGAGCCUGCAUCAUUUAUUGGAGGGAGUACCUGGGUUCAAAUGCCAGAUACAGUUUUCUGAUGGUGCAGCCCAUGGGAGGCAGUACUGAUGGCUCAGAUGAUGGGGUUCCUGUCUACCAUGUAGGAGACCUGAAUUGAGUUCCAGACUCCCAGCUUCAGCCUCAGCAUGCUUCCUGCCUGUAGUCUGGAAAAGCAACGGAGGAUGGCCCAAAACCUUGGGACCCUGCACCCAUGUGGGAGACCUAAAAGAAGCUCCUGGCUCCUGGCUUUGACUGGUUCAGCUCCAGGUGCUGUGUAGUCAUUUGGGAAGUGAAUCAGUGCACGGAAGACCUUCUCUUUCUCUCUCUCUGCCUCUCCCUCUUUCUCUGUAGCUCUGCCUUUUGAGUA